rnacentral:sRNA from 1 species
CAGGGAGAGGUGGAGCCCAGGCUGUGCCCGGCGUCUUUACUUCCCAGUGCUGCUUACCUUUGGGAUUGGUGGUGUCUUUGUGAGACCAGAGACUGGUGGGGUAGAAGGGAGAAGGAUCAAGACUCAGUGUUUUUCAGGGCUUGAAAAAUGGAGAACAUUCCAGAUGGAGUGAAUAGCAUGAGCAGAGGUCUUAAGAGCAGGAUAUACAGGCUAUGUUUGUGGUUUGGUUAGCAGCCUGUGUGUGCACAUGCAUGGGGUUUACAGAGUGAAUUAGUAGAGAGCAAGAGUAAAGACAUAGAUGGACCCAGAUCUUCAUGGAUCUGGCUGAGGAGCCUAGGCUUGGUUGUGCAUGCAGUGGGGAGCCAUCGAUGGUUUUGGAGCAGGAGGAAAGGUGGUCAGAACUCAGUGGUAAGCAGGAUGAAGGAAUAGAUAAGAGGCCUGAGGACCCCCUACAAGACAUACCCUAAUGAGAGUAUAAGGACCUGAGAGGAAAGAAUGGACAAGCAGAAAUGUCUGAAAUCAGCCGAUACUGAGCUGCUUGCUCACUUCUUUAAGGAUUUCCUUGCUGAUCCCAGUAGCCACAGAGUCUCACAUUCUUUUGUCCCUGGCAGGGCUGUGCUGGCUAGUGAGGUGUGGUCUGAGACCCACCGGGAGGAAGUGGGGAGCUGGGGGGAACAGCUCUAUAGCACUUGACCCUAGGCUAUCAGGAAGGGUGGUCCUGGAUGUCAGAGAGAUCACCUGGCAGGUGAGCAGGCCUGGUGUAGCCCCAGUGGCUUGCCCCUCCCCCGAGCUGAGAGUCCGUCUGUGGCUGUGCCAGAUGCACCUCAGGGGUCAGCCGCUUGCCUGGCCCAUGGCCUGGCCUCCGCUCAGCCUGGUUGCCUUCAUGGACUGCUUUGAGAAGUAGGUGUGCAUGCCUGUCCUCCCUCGUCUGUCCCUUCUUUAAUCCCUUUAUAACUGCACUUGUCCAGGAAUCUGGGCUAAGUGAGGUGGAGAUGAAUAAUUAAUGUCAGGCGCUUCAGACACCAAAUAUUUGAACAGCUGCCUGGUGUUUUUGCUGGCAAGGACCUAGCGGCCAAAAUCAGGAUGUUGGCCGGGGGUCCCACUCUGUGGCUCCGAUUGGCCUUAGCCAGCCUGUUCUCUCCUCUGAUGGACUUGUCAGGCUGGAUAAUGGGGCAUAGGGGAGGCCCCACUCUUUUCCUGUGAAAUUCCUAGACCUGAAUUUUUCUGUCCUCUUCCUGUUCUUCCUAGACCUGGAAGAUAGGUGAACAGCAGGCCUGGGGCUGAGUGUCCCCCGAGGACGUGACAUAAUGUAUGAAUGGGCUAGUUUAUGAGCAGAGACCACUUGGAGCAGCAUGCAGUGGCAGAGAAAGAUGAGGUUUGCAGAGUGAAGGGCCUGAAAUGUCAGGGCCAGGGGCACUGAAGUAUCUGGCUCUAUACAUCCCAGGCCCAGGUUUCCCUCUGGGCCUUAUCAGGUCCAAAGCCUAACCCCUACCUGGAGGCAACAGGAGGGGCACCCUUGGCCUAGUCUUCUUGUCCCCAGGCCCUCCUCACACCCUGCUUCCCACAGGCUCUGGCUUCAUCAUGUGCAGCGGCAAAGAGAACCCGGACAGUGAUGCUGACUUGGAUGUGGAUGGGGAUGACACUCUGGAGUAUGGGAAGCCACAAUACACGGAGGCUGAUGUCAUCCCCUGCACAGGCGAGGAGCCUGGUGAAGCCAAGGAGAGAGAGGCACUCCGGGGCGCAGUCCUAAAUGGCGGCCCUCCCAGCACGCGCAUCACACCUGAGUUCUCUAAAUGGGCCAGUGAUGAGAUGCCAUCCACCAGCAAUGGUGAAAGCAGCAAGCAGGAGGCCAUGCAGAAGACCUGCAAGAACAGUGACAUCGAGAAAAUCACCGAAGAUUCAGCUGUGACCACGUUUGAGGCUCUGAAGGCUCGGGUCAGAGAACUUGAACGGCAGCUAUCUCGUGGGGACCGUUACAAAUGCCUCAUCUGCAUGGACUCGUACUCGAUGCCCCUAACGUCCAUCCAGUGUUGGCACGUGCACUGCGAGGAGUGCUGGCUGCGGACCCUGGUGAGGUGGCAUGGGGGUCGGGGAAUGGGAGGCCGCUCCGGGCACUGCCCAGAUGUCUGUGCUUAUGCCUGAGCCUGCCUGGGGGAAGUGGGGAGCACGGGCCAAAGGAGAACAGAGCCAGGAGCCAGGAUAUUUACCCCCAGGAUAUUUACUCCCAGGCUCGCUGCCUCUCCUCCCCAACUACAGGUUUAGGAACUUCUUCCCCUCCACGAGUUCACUGCAUUCUCCCUUCCCCUCCCCAUGUCCCCCGAAGGCCCACUGCAUCACACAGACUGGUGAGGCCUGGGGUCAGGAGGAGGCUGGCUGUGGGUAAACAGGACCAGGGCCUUGGCCCCUCCCCCUCCCAUUACUAAGCUCCUUCUGCUCCUGCCCCUGUUCUUCGCUCAGGAGCAGCCAUUAAAAUGUCGCCCGGAGACAGCAAUAAAAGGCUCGGACGUGGGCUCUGUGUCCUGAUCAAAGGCCGCGUGUAAUCUCGUUAGGGCUGCGGCUGCCACAGCUGGACCCAGCCUUGUUCUCAUUACCGGGGCUCCUGCUGCGGGGCUGGCCAGGCGGUUUGAUCCUGGCGUUCCCGCAACACAGGAGCGUGCCUGCCUGCUCACAGAAGCUGCCUGUGCAUCCCCAGCCUGGGCUGACAGGACCAAGGUCCCAGCACACACUGGUGCAGAGAGACAUGGCUGCAGGCCCAGGUGCUCACAUGCGCACACGUGGCACAUUGUGUAGACCAGAGCCCUCCCUGUUCUCCCUGCAGGGUGCCAAGAAGCUCUGCCCUCAGUGCAACACGAUCACAGCGCCCGGAGACCUGCGGAGGAUCUACUUGUGAGCUAUCUGCCCCAGGCAGGCCUUGCCUCCAGCAGCCCCACCUGCCCCCAGCCUCUGUGACAGUGACCCUCUCCCUUUGUACAUACUUGCACACAGGUUCCCCAUGUACAUACAUGCACAUACUCACACAUGCGUACACACACACACACACAUUUACACACGCAGGACUCUGGAGCCAGAGUAGAGGCUGUGGCCCAGGCACUACCUGCUGGCUCCCACCUAUGGUUUGGGGGCCAUACCUGUUCCAGCUCUGUUCCCAGGGUGGGGCAGGGAGGUGGGGGUUGGGGGAGUAGUGGGGCACGGCUCCUAAGAUCCAGCCCCCCGACUGACAGACGGGACAGACAGACAUGCAAACACCAGACUGAAGCACAUGUAAUAUAGACCGUGUAUGUUUACAAUGUUGUGUAUAAAUGGGACAACUCCUCGCCCUCUACCUGUCCCCUUCCCCUUUGGUUGUAUGAUUUUCUUCUUUUUUAAGAACCCCUGGAAGCAGUGCCUCCUUCAGGGUUGGCUGGGGGCUCGGCCCAUCCACCUCUUGGGGUACCUGCCUCUCCCUCUCCUGUGGUGUCCCUUCCCCCUCCCAUGUGCUCGGUGUUCAGUGGUGUAUAUUUCUUCUCCCAGACAUGGGGCACACGCCCCAAGGGACGUGAUCCUCUCCUUAGUCUUAGCUCAUGGGGCUCUUUAUAAGGAGUUGGGGGGUAGAGGCAGGAAAUGGGAACCGAGCUGAAGCAGAGGCUGAGUUGGGGGGCUAGAGGACAGUGCUCCUGGCCACCCAGCCUCUGCUGAGAACCAUUCCUGGGAUUAGAGCUGCCUUUCCCAGGGAAAAAGUGUCGUCUCCCCGACCCUCCCGUGGGCCCUAUGGUGUGAUGCUGUGUCUGUAUAUUCUAUACAAAGGUACUUGUCCUUUCCCUUUGUAAACUACAUUUGACAUGGAUUAAACCAGUAUAAACAGUU